rnacentral:lncRNA from 1 species
CAGAACUAGAAUUGGAACAGAACACUUUUGGCCUCUGACCCACCCUGGGAGCCAGGCAAAGGAAGAAGAAGCUCCGACUCAGAGCUAUUUGCUUUAGAUAGGCAGGGACUUUGGAAAGUUCAUUCCCCAAGUCUUAGGAAGCCAACAUUUCAGGGCUGCUGAUAAUUUUGCAGGACGGAAGAAGGUCAGCUUUGCUCUUCUCCUGGGUUCUGGAACCAGACCUUCCUAACCUGUGCUGCUUACCUGGAGCCUCAGACCACUGUCACCCCUGCCCUCAUCUCCAGACUCUUCUUCCAGCAACUUGACUUGCAAAGCAGGGAUAGAGGGAUGGAGCACCAGCUUCCAUGUCAAGCAUAGCAGGCUGCACUCCUGGCAUCCCAGUGCCUUGGCUCUUGGGGCUUGUUCCUCAUCUCUAGCUCCUUCACAGAGUCGUCCUGAGGCUCACAAUGGGAACAUAUCAAUAAAUUACCCACUGUAUCAAAAGGAGUUAUUAUUAUCACAAUUGUUAUCGGCACUUAAGCCUGAAGGCAAAUAAAUGAUUUUUAGUUGCAAAAUUGAUCUUAUU